AUUGAACGCUGGCGGCAGGCCUAACACAUGCAAGUCGAGCGAGCGGCGGACGGGUGAGCAAUGUCUGGGAAAAUGCCUGAUGGAGGGGGAGAACAACUGGAAACGGUAGCUAAUACCGCAUACCAUCAGAUGUGCCCAGGUGGGAUGAGCUAGUAGGUGGGGUAACGGCUCACCUAGGCGACGAUCCCUAGCUGGUCUGAGAGGAUGACCAGCCACACUGGAACGGCGACACGGUCCAGACUCCUACGGGAGGCAGCAGUGGGGAAUAUUGCACAAUGGGCGCAAGCCUGAUGCAGCCAUGCCGCGUGUGUGAAGAAGGCCUUCGGGUUGUAAAGCACUUUCAGCGGGGAGGCGUUACCCGCAGAAGAAGCACCGGCUAACUCCGUGCCAGCAGCCGCGGUAAUUC
rnacentral:rRNA from 1 species